GUAAUCCAUGAAAUAUAGCUUAUAAAAGCUAAAUGUAUUUUUCUUAAUUCUUAGUUCUUUUUUUUUUCUUGUGAGACAGAGUCACCCAGGCUGGAGUGCAGUGGUGCCAAUCAUGGCUCAGCACAGCAUUGACUUCCCAGGCUCAAGCUAUCCUCCCACCUUAACCUCCUGAGUAGCUGAGACUACAGGUGCAUGAUACCACACCUGGCUAAUUUUUAAAUUUUUGGUAGGGGCAGGGUCUCACUAUGUUGCUCAGUCUGGCCUUGAACUCCUGGAGUCAAGUGAUCCUCCUACCUUGGCCUCCCAAAAUGUUGGGAUUACAGGCAUGAGCCACAGUGCCUGGCCUGUUAUUUCUUAAAGAGGAUUUUGUCUUGUAAAACUUCCUAGGAUAUAUAUGAUUGAGACUAUUAAGUAGAAAAAGUCUAGUUUCAAUGUUAUAUCAAUACUGAAAAUAACUCCAUCAUCUGGCUUAUUUUGCUGCUGAUGAGAAGUCUGAUGUUUAUCUGAUUCUUCUUCCAUUGUAGGUGAUCUGUUUUAUCUUUCUAAAAAUUUUUAACUUGAUGGCAGCAAUAAUCUGCCUUGGAUUAUGACUAAGGAAAACAAUCAGAAACAAAAUGCUCUCCUCAACCUGUCCCCCAUGCAUGCUCCCGGCUCACUUUUUUUUGAGUCUGCCAUCUUUCUGCAUCCUCCAGGAAACAACCACCUUCUCUCUUCCUGGAGCUGUCAAAUAGCUUUAAUGUCAUUUUCUCACAUCCUUCAAAUUCUCACUUCCACAGAAUCUCCAGAGCUGGGGACUGGGGAAAGAGCUGGCAGUGCCUAUGAGUUUAUCAUCCUGACAGGAGCUGGAACAGCACCAAUUUCACUUAAACCUUAAGCAAACAGUCCAGUGUGUACAUGUGGCUUUAAACCAAAGUUAUGUAACUUCUGAGUUGCUUUUUGUUGUUUUAACACUAUUAUUUGAUUCUUUCAAUAUUCUAAAACCUACAUCCAUUUCCUUGAUACAGGAUAAUUACAUAUUUGUAACACAGAUAUCAUAAAUAUUAUUAAAAUAUUUUUCUUCAGUUUGGCUGUUUUCUUUAUCAUUUUUGCUAAAUAACAAGCUAUGUUCAAUAUGUUUGAUGAAACUUUGAAAAAAAUACCUUUUGUCGUCUAAUCUGGAUGUAUAUUCUUGAUUUGUCAUCAACAAGCAGAGGAAAACCUUUCAUUGGUUUUGGUGAAAGAAAAAUUUAUUUCCUCUUCAGCCAGGUCUGAACGAUUCUUCUUGAAGCUAUGCAUGCACUCCCAAAUAUUUUCUCCUGGCAAAUCAAUGGCUGGAAAUGUGCUUCAUGAUCUUUUUUUCUAAGUGGUGACAGGGCUAAAUGUUUCCUAAAACUGAGGCCUGAAGAGAGAAUCUGGUCUGACAUCCAGCAUACAGUAGAAGAUAUCUACUACCAGUGGGUCUUCUACCCUCCUUACAAGGGAACACAGGUGUAAGAGAAAAACAGAGAACACUAUUUUUAUGUAUAAAUUAUUGGGGGUAGUCGCUAGCUUUUGAAAUUUGGAUUUAAGUAUUCUUUAUUUUGAACUCUCUUUCUUACACUUGCUGUCUGUCCAUCUGGCCAUCUCAAAUGAGAAAGAGGAUUCUGACAAAAGAGAACUUAAGAUGAAAGAUGCACCCUGACCAGAGGCAUCCAUAGUACCCAAAAGAGAAACACAGCGGGAAGACUACUGAUACUAAAACAUCUGUUUGUGAACAUAUGGAAAAUCCAAUUAUAAGAACAGGGGUGCCUGUGAAGCAGACAGACUAAAAUGGUGAAUUUAAACUGGUUCUCUGCAUAAAUUAAGCAAAAUUCUUUUCUCUGUUACAUCGUCGCACUUUUUAAAUUUGCAUGCAUGUCUGUGUGUUUAUCGAGAUUUGUUGCCCAGGCUGAAGUACAGUGGUGUGAUCUUGGCUCACUGCAACCUCCGCCUCCCAGGUUCAAAUGAUUCUUGUGCCUCAGCCUCCUGAGUAGCGGAUAUUCCAGGCACCCGCCACCACGCCCAGCUAAAUUUUUGUAUUUUUAGUAGAGACAGGGUUUCACCAUGUUGGUCAGGCUGGUCUUGAACUCCUGACCUCAAGUGAUUGGCCCACCUCAGCCUCCCAAAGUGCUGGGAUUACAGGCAUGAGCCACCACCCAGCCUAAUAUAGUCUUGACUUUUUAAAACUCAAUCAUUUGGUAUUGAUCAAGCUGAUCCCGUGAAGACUGAGGGCAUAGGCAGGCAAUCCAGAAGCAUCUGUGUGGCCAAGCACACUCUAGAGUCAAGCACCUGCUAGGAUGAGUCAAAACAGGCACCAGGCACGGUUUAUUUACAGAAUACAUGUAGUUCCCACCCCAAAGGAAAUGUAUUUCUCCAGGAUGAGUUUUUCACUAUUUGUAUAUCAAACAUUGUCAGUAUUUAAUAGACAAGGAAUAAUUAAAGCAAUCAAUUUCUUUUUUUGUAAAUAAUUUUAAGUACACAAAUAAUUUAGAAUAACUAUAGAAAUCUAGGAAAACAUUCUCUAUAACGCCACAAUCCCCAAAUAAAUAUUAUUUAGAACUUGUGUGGGUGGGCGCAGCAGCUCACACCUGUAUCCCAGCACUUUGCGGGGCUGAGGUGGGCAGAUCACCUGAGGUCAGGAGUUCGAGAUCAGCCUGGCCAACAUGGCGAAACCUCGUCUCUACUAGAAAUACAAAAAUUAGCUGGGCAAGGUGGCGCACACCUGUAGUCCCAGCUAUUCAGGAGGCUGAGGCAAGAUAAUCACUUGAACCCAGGAGUUGGAGUUUGCAGUGAGCUGAGAUUAUGCCACUGAACUGUAGCCUGGGUGACAGAGCAAGACUCCAUCUUAAAAAAAAAAAAAAUUGUGGGCAUUUUUCUGAAUAUUUUACUCUCUGAUUUCUAAAUCACACACACAUGCACACACACACAUACAGAACUGUCUAUUCUGAGUUUAUCAAUCAUAUAAUCAUAUAUAAUUUUUUCCUGUCCCCUAGUUACUUCACAUUUUUAAUGGCUGUAUAAUAUUCCAUGUUGUGAAUGUCUUCUAAUUUACUUUUCACAAUGCUUUUAAAUCUUGAGACAUUAUUGAUUAAGAAUUUUUAAUGAGGAAUGGAAUUACAAGGUAUGGUUAGUUUAACUGAUUUUCGAUAUAUGAUUUAAAGUAUUUUGGUUUCUCACUUCUUAAAGGAGGCAGUAAACACCCAUAUGACAUCUGCUAAGACACAAAAAGCUGCUCAUUAAAGGUGGAGAACAUAAUUAUUACGACCAGGUGAAAUUCCUUCAAUUAUUUUGUUUUUAACAUUGAAUUAAAUUAUAGUUUUUGUUAAGCUUUCAAUAUUCCUGAGACUCACUGACAGAUGGCUGUGUUCUUACAUUUUGCUUCCCUCUGCUAGGGUUGUAUUUAUGUGUAUGUGCUCAUGUAAUUUUCGUGAACUGCAUGGAGGAAGUAAGGCAUUCAGAAUAGAAGGUGUCGGGAACCCGUUUUUAUCCACACCAAAUGUCCUUGGCUGUUUCCAAAAAUUUGCUUUAAGUCAAAGUAUUUAAGUCUUCAUUUUUAGGGCCCAG
rnacentral:lncRNA from 10 species